rnacentral:sRNA from 1 species
AAAAAAAAAAAAUUUAAUCUAACCGCUACCGCUCGCAACCGCAAACGCUGCGGGAAAAAGCUUUUGAAAUCUGGCGAUUUCGAGCGGUCCAAAGCGGUAUCUAGCGGUUUCUAUGAUUGGUGCCAAUCGCUAACAACCACUACCACCCGCAAACGCAGCGUUUGCGGGUUGCAGAGGGAGAACCAAUCAAGCCUAAGUGGAGACAAAAACUUGAUACC